AUCCGAAGAUUUCCGAAUGAGGAAACUCACUUAGAGUAAUGUCUAAGUAUCAUUAAGUGAAUACAUAGCUUAAUGAGGGGAACUCAGGGAACUGAAACAUCUAAGUACCUGAAGGAAGAGAAAGAAAGUCGAUUCCGUAAGUAGCGGCGAGCGAACGCGGAAGAGCCCAAACCAAUAAAGUUUUCUUUAUUGGGGUUGCGGACAUAUCAUAACGAAGAGGUAUCGUAAUUGAAGAGGUUUGGAAAGACCCACCA
rnacentral:rRNA from 1 species